UACGUAGGGGGCUAGCGUUGUCCGGAUUUAUUGGGCGUAAAGAGCGUGUAGGCGGCGCGGUAAGUCGGGUGUGAAAUCUUGGAGCUUAACUCCGAAACUGCAUUCGAUACUGCCGUGCUUGAGGACUGGAGAGGAGACUGGAAUUUACGGUGUAGCGGUGAAAUGCGUAGAUAUCGUAAGGAAGACCAGUGGCGAAGGCGGGUCUCUGGACAGUUCCUGACGCUGAGGCACGAAGGCCAGGGGAGCAAACGGG
rnacentral:rRNA from 1 species